rnacentral:rRNA from 1 species
CACGUAGAGGGCAAGCGUUGUCCGGAUUUAUUGGGCGUAAAGAGCUCGUAGGUGGUUCGGUAAGUCGGGUGUUAAACCCCCAGGCUCAACCUGGGGACGCCACUCGAUACUGCUGUGACUAGAGUCCGGUAGGGGAGCGUGGAAUUCCUGGUGUAGCGGUGAAAUGCGCAGAUAUCAGGAGGAACACCAGCGGCGAAGGCGGCGCUCUGGGCCGGUACUGACACUGAGGAGCGAAAGCGUGGGUAGCAAACAGG